rnacentral:rRNA from 1 species
GACGAACGCUGGCGGCGUGCUUAACACAUGCAAGUCGAACGGAAAGGCCCUGCUUUUGUGGGGUGCUCGAGUGGCGAACGGGUGAGUAACACGUGAGUAACCUGCCCUUGACUUUGGGAUAACUUCAGGAAACUGGGGCUAAUACCGGAUAGGAGCUCCUGCUGCAUGGUGGGGGUUGGAAAGUUUCGGCGGUUGGGGAUGGACUCGCGGCUUAUCAGCUUGUUGGUGGGGUAGUGGCUUACCAAGGCUUUGACGGGUAGCCGGCCUGAGAGGGUGACCGGCCACUUUGGCAUGAAGUUUAGGCCCAAGACCCCCGGGGGGGAAGGAGUGGGGAUUUUUCCACAUUGGGGGGAGGCCUGAAGGAGCAGGCCCGCGGGCGGGAAGAAGCCCUUCGGGUUGUAAACCGUUUCGCCCUGGAACGAGGGGUGAGUGGAGGAAAUGGGUAAGAAAGCCCGGGCUAAUUAGGU